rnacentral:rRNA from 1 species
AGUGAACGCUGGCGGUAGGCCUAACACAUGCAAGUCGAACGGCAGCACAGUAAGAGCUUGCUCUUACGGGUGGCGAGUGGCGGACGGGUGAGGAAUACAUCGGAAUCUACUUUUUCGUGGGGGAUAACGUAGGGAAACUUACGCUAAUACCGCAUACGACCUACGGGUGAAAGCAGGGGAUCUUCGGACCUUGCGCGAUUCAAUGAGCCGAUGUCGGAUUAGCUAGUUGGCGGGGUAAAGGCCCACCAAGGCGACGAUCCGUAGCUGGUCUGAGAGGAUGAUCAGCCACACUGGAACUGAGACACGGUCCAGACUCCUACGGGAGGCAGCAGUGGGGAAUAUUGGACAAUGGGCGAAAGCCUGAUCCAGCCAUACCGCGUGGGUGAAGAAGGCCUUCGGGUUGUAAAGCCCUUUUGUUGGGAAAGAAAAGCAGCAGGUUAAUACCCCGCUGUUCUGACGGUACCCAAAGAAUAAGCACCGGCUAACUUCGUG